GACCGCGGUUACACGAUAGGCCCAAGACAAUAUCAACGGCGUAAAAAUGACUAAAUACUCAACAGUUCAAACUUAGGGUAGAAACCAGACUGGGCUGUAAAAAGCCAUAAGCCACAUUAAUCACUGCCCCUAACACCACACAAAUUUAACUCAUAAAAGCUAAGACA
rnacentral:rRNA from 1 species